rnacentral:rRNA from 1 species
GAACCGAUGGGUUCCUUUCCAAAGGCGGUCCUGCCGCCGCAAGAGGAUGGGGCUGCGUCCUAUUAGCUAGUAGGUGAGGUAACGGCCCACCAAGGCUUCGAUGGGUAGCUGGUCUGAGAGGACGGCCAGCCACAUUGGGACUGAGACACGGCCCAGACUCCUACGGGAGGCAGCAGUGGGGAAUCUUGGCCAAUGGACGAAAGUCUGAGCCAGCGACACCGCGUGGGGGAUGAAGGCCUUCGGGUUGUAAACCUCUUUUCUGGGGAAAGAAUAAGGACGGGAGGAAAUGCCCGCCCGAUGACGGUACUCCAGGAAUAAGCAUCGGCUAACUCUGUGCCAGCAGCCGCGGUAAGACAGAGGAUGCAAGCGUUAUCCGGAAUUACUGGGCGUAAAGGGCGUCUAGGCGGUUCGGUAAGUCGUUUGUGAAAUCCCUCGGCUCAACCGAGGAGAGUCUUGCGAUACUGCCGGGCUUGGGUGCAGGAGAGGAGGGUGGAACUCACAGAGUAGCGGUGGAAUGCGUAGAUACUGUGAGGUACCCCGAUGGCGAAGGCAACCCUCUGGCCUGCUACCGACGCUGAAGCGCGAAAGCGUGGGGAGCAAAGGGGAUUAGAUACCCCCGUAGUCCACGCCCUAAACAAUGUUCACUUGGUGUCGGCCGCUUAUACUGGUCGGUGCCGAAGCUAACGCGUUAAGUGAACCGCCUGAGGAGUACGGCCGCAAGGCUAAAACUCAAGAGAAUUGACGGGUCCCUGCACAAGCGGUGGAGCACGUGGUUUAAUUCGACGAUAAACGAAGAACCUCACCCAGGCUUGACAUACUAGUGGUAGGAACCUGAAAGGGGGACGACUCUGCCUUCGGGUAGAGAGCUAGUACAGGUGAUGCAUGGCUGUCGUCAGCUCGUGUCGUGGGAUGUUGGGUUCAGUCCCGAAACGAGCGCAACCCUUGUCGUUAGUUGCCAGCGGGUAAUGCCGGGGACUCUAACGAGACUGCUGGUGAAUAGCCGGAGGAAGGCGGGGAUGACGUCAAGUCAUCAUGUCCCUUACGCCUGGGGCGACACACAUGCUACAAUGGGGGGUACAGAGGGUCGCAAUCCCGUAAGGGGGAGCCAAUCCAUAAAAGCCCCUCCCAGUUCGGAUUGAGGUCUGCAACUCGACCUCAUGAAGCCGGAAUCGCUAGUAAUCGCGGGUCAGCCAUACCGCGGUGAAUAUGUACUCAGGGAUUGUACACACCGCCCGUCACACCAACCGAGUGGGGGGUACCUGAAGUCGCUCUUCUAAGAGCGCCUAGGGUAACUUCCGCAAGG